rnacentral:rRNA from 1 species
GACGAACCGUGCAAACGUUAUUCGGAAUCACUGGGCUUAAAGCGCGUGUAGGCGGGACGGCACGUCGGUCGUUGAAAGCCCCGGCUCAACCGGGAAUGGCGCCGAUACGACCGUCCUGGAGGAACGUAGGGGGACCUGGAACUUCCGGUGGAGCGGUGAAAUGCGUUGAUAUCAGAAGGAACGACCGGCGGCGAAGCGGACGCACUGGACCUUUCUGACGCUGAGGCGCGAAAGCUAGGGGAGCAACGGGG